ACUCCAACAUGAUUCUGGCCGUGAAACUGAACAGGCAGAGGCUCAUUGUGUGCCUGGAGGAGUCUCUCUACAUACACAACAUUCGGGACAUGAAGGUACUUCACACCAUCAGGGAGACCCCCCCAAACCCUGCAGGCUUGUGUGCCCUCUCAAUAAGCAAUGACAACUGCUACUUGGCGCACCCAGGG
rnacentral:lncRNA from 1 species